ACGAACGCUGGCGGCUGCUUAACACAUGCAAGUCGAACGGAGUGGCGAACGGGUGAGUAACGCGUGUGCAACCUGCCUAUGACAGGGGGAUAGCCUCGGGAAACCGGGAUUAAUACCGCAUAGUCAUAGAUGGGCUCGCGUCGGAUUAGCUAGUUGGUGAGAUAACAGCCCACCAAGUCGACGAUCAGUAGCCGGUCUGAUAGGAUGAGCGGCCACAUUGGAACUGAGACACGGUCCAAACUCCUACGGGCGGCAGCAGUGGGGAAUAUGUCACAAUGGGGGAAACCCUGAUGCAGCGACGCCGCGGGAACGAAGAAGGUAUUCGUAUCGUAAAGUUCUGUCCUAUGGGAAGCAGUACCAUAGAAGAAAGCUCCGGCUAAAUACGUGCCAGCAGCCGCGGUAAUAC
rnacentral:rRNA from 1 species